rnacentral:rRNA from 1 species
UACGAAGGGGGCGAGCGUUGUUCGGAAUUACUGGGCGUAAAGCGUGCGCAGGCGGUUCGCUAAGACAGAUGUGAAAUCCCCGGGCUUAACCUGGGAACUGCAUUUGUGACUGGCGGGCUAGAGUAUGGCAGAGGGGGGUAGAAUUCCACGUGUAGCAGUGAAAUGCGUAGAGAUGUGGAGGAAUACCGAUGGCGAAGGCAGCCCCCUGGGCCAAUACUGACGCUCAUGCACGAAAGCGUGGGGAGCAAACAGG